GGAAGAACAAUAUUGGAUUUUGGAUUCUAUAGUUCAGAGAACCACCAAGGUCCUCAUCUUUAGUUACUAGCUGUCUGACGUUGGGUACUGCCUGAUCCCUGAGUCUUCUGUCUGGAGUUCCUCCUUGCAGAUACCUUCUUUGGAGCCAUUUGCAGGCAGUUUCCAGGCUUCAAAACUGGCCCAUCCUAUCAGAACCCUUCUGCUCAGAGUUCCUUUCCCGCAAAGUAGUCUGCUUUCUCAGAUGUUAAUAGAUUCUGAUAGCUUAGGAUAUCAUCCUUUAAGACGCAUCCAUUAAAUGCAUGUGCCCUUUAAUAAAAUGCCUUAGCUGAGAGAAGUCAAUCUCCCGUAGUGGGGAAUUUGUGCCCAAUAAGAGAGCUGGAGCACCAUUUCUUCAUGGCACAGAAGCCACAGAAGCAUGAAGACUAUAAUCCCACCUUGUCUACAGUUGUCCAUUGAGAUCAAGACAGGCCAGUUCCUCUUUACAAAUCCUCUCUCCCUGGUGUUUGUACACCAUUUCACAGUCUACAAAGUGCUUUCACAGAUUUCCCAGUUUAGCCUCCAACCAUUCCGUGAAAUAGAAAGGGAUCUACUCUGAGUGUGCCUUCUAAUGCUCAGAAACACCAACACACACCUGGAACCCACAGCAACGGAUCACUGGAAGACAAAAUGCACAAGAAUAAUAUUUCACCCGGCAACGAGGACUGAGAUUUGCAAAUAAAAUGGCUGGAGGAGAAGGAGCAUCCCCGUCACCUGGAAAUUGUUUUAUUAGGCAGCAGCUGGGUUUUCAACUCUGUUAGUUGGAUUUUUGUUUGUUUUCAAACUUUUCAGGGAUUGUUAGC